rnacentral:rRNA from 1 species
CAGUAGCCGCGGGAAUACAGAGGGUGCAAGCGUUAAUCGGAAUUACUGGGCGUAAAGCGCGCGUAUGUGGUUUGUUAAGUUGGAUGUGAAAGCCCCGGGCUCAACCUGGGAACUGCAUCCAAAACUGGCAAGCUAGAGUACGGUAGAGGGUGGUGGAAUUUCCUGUGUAGCGGUGAAAUGCGUAGAUAUAGGAAGGAACACCAGUGGCGAAGGCGACCACCUGGACUGAUACUGACACUGAGGUGCGAAAGCGUGGGGAGCAAACAGGAUUAGAUACCCCUGUAGUCCCUGUCUCUUAUAC